GCUCUGUCUCUCAGUAAUAAAUAAACGUUAAAAAAAAAAUUUUUUUUUAAAUAGAAAAAAAAAGUCAGACGCUUAACCAACUGAGCCACCCACGCACCCCUCAAUCUUCUAUGAAGGCAAUCUAAGCUCUCUCAAUCAACCUAGAAAGUACUACAAUAUUCCAAAGUAAGUCCCACUAAGGUUUUUCAUGACAUAUGACAGGCUAAUGAUUAAAUGUUCAUACAGAAAAAUGGUUCAAAAAUAGUAAAGAAAAAGCAUCAAAAAAAAAAAAAAAAAAAAAAACAACAACAAACCAGGGGAGAGUUGCCUUGUAUGAAAAUAUAUUUUAAAACUAUAGUAAUUUAUAGUAUUAGCACACUGAAUUGUCAGAUAAAUGGGACAGAGCUCAGAAGCAGAUAUAUAUAGAUAUACAUAUAUAUUAUCUAUGGACACAAACAGAAGUCAUAAACGAAAAAGCUGAAUAAAACUAACAAUGUGGUUUAGAAUGUCUACGACCAAACACAGACACGUAUAAACACACCUAACGCCACAAAAUUAACAGACCUGAAAGAAACUGGAAGAAAUACUUACAUCUAAUGAAUGAUUAGCAUACAGCCUAUAUUUUUAAUGCUAAUAAAUCCAUAUAAAAACGAUCUAAUUGAAAAAUGGGUCAAAGGACACAACCGGCAAUUUAUAGGAGAGGAAAUACAAAGGACCAAUAAAAAUUGAUGCUUCACCUUACUGGUUAUCAGGGAAACACACAUGAAAAUGAAACUUCGUCUUUCACCCGUCGGAUUGACUUAGACUCAAGUCUGAUGAUAUCAAGGGUUGGAAAAAGCAGUAUCUUCUCGGACACUAUGGAGCUGGAGGGGAAAUUAGUUCAGCCACUCUGGAGGACAAUCUGGCAGGGUGUAUUAAAAUUAAAAAUGCACAGAACUCAUGAUGCAGCAGUUCUCACUUCUCAGUGAUCCACUGAAAAACCCCUGCAGAUGUGCGGAAAGACACGUAAAAGAGUGCUCACUGGAACAGCACUUAGGAGGAAAAAUCAGAAGCAACCUCAAAGGUUCAAUUCACAGAAAAAUGGCCAAAGAAGCACUCUGUGGAAGAGACCCAGCCGACGGCAAGAACACGGCAGACCUACUUAGUGAAAGGAAAAUCCCCCAUUAACACAGACUGGAAUUUUAAAAGUUGCAAAAUGCAGGCCUGAUGAAAACCAGGUUUACAUUUCUCUAUUUUGCCACACCAAAAAAAAAAAAAAAAGUUAUGUCACCUUCAACGAGAUAUUUAAGUCAGUGAUCUUGGCAAAGGGGAAAAACUUGGACUUGUACAGACACGAUGUUAAAGAAAGGUUAGAACAAAUCAGCACUUGUAAUCAAAUUUGUACUUGCUCUCUUCACAGACUUGCAAGUUGCCAGUUCAGCGCCAGGCUGAACUGGGCAAUCACGCUUAAGGCCUGGUUAGAGAACUACAAGGAAGGAGUUAAGUGCUCCGGUUUACAUACUGUUAUCCCACGUGUGAUGGCCCGAGUCCAAAUGCCAAGGUCAAUUCUGGAGAAGCCAGCCAGCUGGUUUCCCGGUACUUAGAUUAAGCAUCCUAAUCAAAUCACAGCCUACUAAGGGGCACGUCAGCUAAUGGAAAUGGAGCCAAUGCUUCUUUCGUUACAAGAGAAAUCGGGCAAAAUAGUUAAGUACCUGAGACAGCGAUCAUGUAGUAAGUUCAAAAUAAGGGUGUCGAAAGGACGAUAACCAACUUGAUUUCAAAAACUUUGAAUAAGAAGGUCAAAGGAUCCUAGGCAAAUAAUACGCGAGAUCAAACUGCAACUCUGAUUAGUACACAUUUUUGAAAAAUUAAGUGAAGGGAAAUAAAGUUAAGAUUCGCUCUACCCCGAGUAGAUCACAUGCACACAUAUUUGGGCUGCAGACAGGAGUGCUGGAUUGAGCUUGGGGAAAGACAGAUUUGGCUGCAGACUGCCAGUGAAUUAUCAGCAGUCGCGUAUUUCGAACCGGCUGCUUCUCCUCUUCCGGAAGGCAGACAGUCAAGGCUCAGCGGCACGGUCCAGGAUGUGCUCACACAUCAACAGCUCUCAGCUGUUCUCUGGUCUGGCUUCCCGGAACCCCAACAGCUCAGAACGACCACCUCAUUCUGUGUCUCCAAGUUUCAACCAAACAGAAUUUAAAUUUAAGGUCCGAGUCACCCUGCGUCUCAGUGGGCUCAUUUUUAGAGGAGUUUCUGGCACUCCGCGUGAUACGGACCGGGGAACUCCCCUGAUGGGUACUUCUCGGGCGUCAUACCUCAGGAGCUAUUUGAAAGCGGGUGGUCCCCACGUCCUCCAAGGAAUGCGCUACGCACGUGGUUGUACAGGGAAAACGAUUUUAUAUGUCCUCAAGAAGUCUUUCCGUCAUAAGUCUGGAAAGUUCAAAAUCUAUUUUCACUCACCGGGAUAAUUUAUGGCAAAAACUAUCAAUAAUCAGUCAGAAAGAGUUUGUUGUUGGUUUUUAACUUCUUAAAACGGGAAAGAUCAUUUAGAACAUCUCUUCUAGUCCGUCUAAAAUGAGGCAAUACGGAACUAACGCUUCCGAGAGUAACGGUAUCAAUGAAACGUCAACAGGUUACAGAUAAACAUUUUAAUUGAUUAAAUAUAUUAUUUUCAAGAUCUUUUUGAAAUCGCACUUGUACUGUACUAAUCAACAGCCAAAGGCAAUAGAAAAGUCUAAAACCAAAAAUGUUCUGACGUGAGCACAUGACGAACCACCGCUACGUAAAGUGACAUAAACUGCUCCCGAGAACGAGGGUCUUUUCAGAAGACGAUUUAUCUUAACAUGGGCAAGAACAAAUCUGUACUCAAAGGCUGGAAGAAAUAUAUAUUAGUGCCUGCUUUUUAAAAGUUUAUUUUACAUUUUAAAUACAGUAUUUUCUCGUUAAAAAAAAAAAGCCAAGAAGCGCCUAACCCCAUGGUUCCUCUACCGUACGUACGCGCACGCGCAUGGACAGCCUGAACGUGUUCUGGACAGAACGGUGUGGACAUCUUUGAGCUGGAACCAGUGAAUCCAAAUUAAAGAACACAAAUCAAGCACUGCUCAGAGGAGAAAAUAAUCCAGUUUCCGAAUAACCAAAAGAGAAGAGGGUUAGGUAUGUACAAAACCAGGUAUUAAAAACCAGAAAAGAAACGCACACACGACAAACAGCCCCUCGUGUAGUGAACUGUAUAGAACGCAGCUUAAUCAACAGAGACCCUCCUACAAGAAGUGAUUUAAGAUCUGAAGUUUUAAAAAUCUAAAAAUCUAAGUAUUUCAGUAACAACAUCCAGUAACGUUUCGUGUGUAGUGCCGUCUCGGUCACGUUCUAUCCACACCACCCUCCCUCCUGAAAACAAGAGUCUCUACGCUAGUCUAUCACUUCUACCAACUUGCGGCUGUUUAUCCAUAUAUGUUCUCGGUAAGGGACACGAAGAUGUCCUCUUCCCAUCUACAAAGACAUAAUGCAGAUUAAAGCUAUAAAACAAUUUAAGCAUGGGCAUCUGUUUUUCCAAUUCUCUCCAGUACGCAAUUCCCCACCGGAACCGGGUAGGGUUUGUGCCUAAGCAUGAACACAGGAAAGGAAAAUGGACGGUCUCUGGCAGUGAUUUCCUUUUAGUGCAACGUUAUUCCCCAUACACUCAAUUGUACUGAAGUGAUUUUACAUACUUUAAUUCAGUAGGUGUCAAUUUGAGUUUACAAAACCCCCUAACUAUAUGCUCGUGUAGAAAACAGGUUCAAUUUGAGAUGCUCUAUAAAGCCAAAUCGAGAC